GAUGAAGAACGUAGCGAAAUGCGAUAAGUAAUGUGAAUUGCAGAAUUCAGUGAAUCAUCGAAUCUUUGAACGCACCUUGCGCCCUUUGGCUAUUCCGAAGGGCAUGCCUGUUUGAGUAUCAUGAACACCUCAACUCUCAUGGUUUGCCAUGAUGAGCUUGGACUUUGGGGGUCUUGCCGGCCUAUGGGUCGGCUCCUCUCAAAUUAAUCAGCUUGCCAGUGUUUGGUGGCAUCACAGGUGUGAUAACUAUCUACGCUUGUGGUUUUCCAUCAGGUAACCUUCAGUGAUGGAGGUUCGCUGGGGCUCAUAAAUGUCUCUCCUCAGUGAGGACAGCUUUUUUGAACGUUUGAUCUCAAAUCAGGUAGGACUACCCGCUGAACUUAAGCAUAUCAAUACGGAGGA
rnacentral:misc_RNA from 1 species